rnacentral:rRNA from 1 species
CCUACGGGUUGCACCAGUGGGGAAUAUUGCACAAUGGGCGCAAGCCUGAUGCGGCCAUGCCGCGUGUGUGAAGAAGGCCUUCGGGUUGUAAAGCACUUUCAGUCGUGAGGAAGGUAGUGUAGUUAAUAGCUGCAUUACUUGACGUUAGCGACAGAAGAAGCACCGGCUAACUCCGUGCCAGCAGCCGCGGUAAUACGGAGGGUGCGAGCGUUAAUCGGAAUUACUGGGCGUAAAGCGCAUGCAGGUGGUUUGUUAAGUCAGAUGUGAAAGCCCGGGGCUCGACCUCGGAAUAACAUUUGAAACUGGCAGACUAGAGUACUGUAGAGGGGGGUAGAAUUUCAGGUGUAGCGGUGAAAUGCGUAGAGAUCUGAAGGAAUACCGGUGGCGAAGGCGGCCCCCUGGACAGAUACUGACACUCAGAUGCGAGAGCGUGGGGAGCAAACAGGAUUAGAUACCCGCGUAGUC